UCGAGAAUCAUUCGCAAUGGGCGCAAGCCUGACGAUGCGACGCCGUGUGAGCGAUGAAGGCCUUAGGGUCGUAAAGCUCUUUCGCUUGGGAACAAGAGGAGCCAGCUAACAUCUGGCGAAUUUGAGGGUACCAGGUAAAGAAGCACCGGCUAACUCCGUGCCAGCAGCUGCGGUAAUACGGAGGGUGCAAGCAUUAAUCGGAUUUAUUGGGCGUAAAGGGCGCGUAGGCGGGUAGGUAAGUCAGAUGUGAAAUCCCGGGGCUCAACCUCGGAACAGCAUAUGAAACUGCGAUACCUAGAGGAUAGGCGGAGAAAACGGAAUUCCACAAGUAGCGGUGAAAUGCGUAGAUAUGUGGAAGAACACCGGUGGCGAAGGCGGUUUUCUAGCUUAGACCUGACGCUGAGGCGCGAAAGCAAGGGGAUCAAACAGGAUUAGAUACCCGCGUAGUCC
rnacentral:rRNA from 1 species